rnacentral:rRNA from 1 species
AAGUCUGGUGCCAGCAGCCGCGGUAAUUCCAGCUCCAAUAGCGUAUAUUAAAGUUGUUGCAGUUAAAAAGCUCGUAGUUGGAUUUCUGUUAAUAAUUUAUAUAAAAUAUUUUGAUGAAUAUUUAUAUAAUAUUAACAUAAUUCAUAUUACUAUAUAUUUUAGUAUAUGAAAUUUUACUUUGAGAAAAUUAGAGUGCUUAAAGCAGGCAUAUGCCUUGAAUACUCCAGCAUGGAAUAAUAUUAAAGAUUUUUAUCUUUCUUAUUGGUUCUAAGAUAAGAAUAAUGAUUAAUAGGGACAGUUGGGGGCAUUUGUAUUUAACAGUCAGAGGUGAAAUUCUUAGAUUUGUUAAAGACAAACUAAUGCGAAAGCA